AUAUCUAAUUAUGGGGGCGCAAUUGCAAUUUAGCGGGCCGCAGAAUUCGCCCCUUACCCGCUUGAACUUAAGCAUAUCAAUAAGCGAGAGGAAAAGAAACUAACAAGGAUUCCCCUAGUAACUGCGAGUGAAGCGGGAAAAGCUCAAAUUUAAAAUCUGGGGGUCCCUGUGGCCCUCCGAGUUGUAAUCUAGAGAAGUGCUAUCCGCGCUGGACCGUGUACAAGUCUCCUGGAACGGAGCGUCAUAGAGGGUGAGAAUCCCGUCUUUGACACGGACUACCAGGGCUUAUGUGAUGUGCUCUCAAAGAGUCGAGUUGUUUGGGAAUGCAGCUCUAAAUGGGUGGUAAAUUCCAUCUAAAGCUAAAUAUUGGCGAGAGACCGAUAGCGAACAAGUACCGUGAGGGAAAGAUGAAAAGAACUUUGGAAAGAGAGUUAAACAGUACGUGAAAUUGUUGAAAGGGAAACGCUUGAAGUCAGUCGCGUUGCCCAGAAAUCAACCUUGCUUUUGCUUGGUGUACUUUCUGGUUAACGGGUCAGCAUCAAUUUUGACCGGUGGAUAAAGGUCAGGGGAAUGUGGCAUCUUCGGAUGUGUUAUAGCCCUUGGUCGCAUACAUCGAUUGGGAUUGAGGAACUCAGCAUGCCGCAAGGCCGGGUUUUUAACCACGUACAUGCUUAGGAUGCUGGCAUAAUGGCUUUAAUCGACCCGUCUUGAAACACGG
rnacentral:rRNA from 1 species